rnacentral:rRNA from 1 species
GAUGAACGCUGGCGGCGUGCCUUAAGCAUGCAAGUCGAAUGGUCGCAAGACAAUGGCAGACGGGUGAGUAAUAGAUGGGAAUCUACCCUUCAAUGGACCAUAGCUCAUCGAAAGAUGGGGUAAUAGUCCAUAGUCCAGGUACCGUAUGGUACCUGGUAAAGAUCUUAACUGAUCGUUGAGGGAGGAGCCCAUUUCCAUCAGCUAGUUGGCGGGUAAAAGCCCACAAGGCAAUGACGGGUAGCUGGACUGAGAGGUCGGUCAGCCACAACUGCACUGAGAUACGGGCAGUACACCUACGGGUGGCAG